rnacentral:rRNA from 1 species
CCUACGGGCGGCUGCAGUGGGGAAUAUUGCACAAUGGGGGAAACCCUGAUGCAGCGACGCCGCGUGAAGGAAGAAGUAUCUCGGUAUGUAAACUUCUAUCAGCAGGGAAGAAAAUGACGGUACCUGACUAAGAAGCCCCGGCUAACUACGUGCCAGCAGCCGCGGUAAUACGUAGGGGGCAAGCGUUAUCCGGAUUUACUGGGUGUAAAGGGAGCGUAGACGGAUGGACAAGUCUGAUGUGAAAGGCUGGGGCUCAACCCCGGGACUGCAUUGGAAACUGCCCGUCUUGAGUGCCGGAGAGGUAAGCGGAAUUCCUAGUGUAGCGGUGAAAUGCGUAGAUAUUAGGAGGAACACCAGUGGCGAAGGCGGCUUACUGGACGGUAACUGACGUUGAGGCUCGAAAGCGUGGGGAGCAAACAGGAUUAGAUACCCUAGUAGUC